GAUGAACGCUGGCGGCGUGCUUAACACAUGCAAGUCGAACGGGAUCCAAGGGGUGCUUGCACUUUUUGGUGAGAGUGGCGAACGGGUGAGUAACACGUGAGUAACCUGACCUUUUCUUUGGGAUAAGCAUUCGAAAGGGUGUUUAAUACCUUAUGUUCUGUCUGCCUCGCAUGGGGUGGGUGGGAAAGGCUUUGGCCGGAUUUGGGGGGGCUCGCGGUCUAUCAGCUUGUUGGUGGGGUGAUGGCUUACCAAGGCUUUGACGGGUAGCCGGCCUGAGAGGGUGGUCGGUCACAUUGGGACUGAGAUACGGCCCAGACUCCUGCGGGAGGCAGCAGUGGGGGAUAUUGCACAAUGGGCGAAAGCCUGAUGCAGCGACGCCGCGUGGGGGAUGAAGGCCUUCGGGUUGUAAACUUCUUUUGCUCUGAACAAGGCAUGCCAGUGGGUGUGUUGAGUGUAGGGGUUGAUUAGCGCCGGCUAACUACGUG
rnacentral:rRNA from 1 species